AUUGAACGCUGGCGGCGUGCCUAAUACAUGCAAGUCGAACGCAGUGGGGACGGGUGAGUAACACGUGGGUAACCUCCCAUCAGAGGGGAUAACACUUGGAAACAGGUGCUAAACCGAUACUGAUGGAUGGACCCGCGGUGCAUUAGCUAGUUGGUGAGGUAACGGCUCACCAAGGCCACGAUGCAUAGCCGACCGUAGAGUGUGAUCGGCCACAGUGGGACAGAGACACGGCCCAGCCUCCUAGGGGAGGCAGCGGUAGGGAGUCUUAGGAAAUGGACGAAAGUCUGACCGAGCAACGCCGCGUGAGUGAAGAAGGUUUUCGGUUCGUAAAACUCUGUUGUUAGAGAAGCGGUAACUAGCCAGAAAACCACUGCUAACUACGUGCCAGCCGCCGCGGUAAUUC
rnacentral:rRNA from 1 species